rnacentral:rRNA from 1 species
UACAGAGGGUGCGAGCGUUAAUCGGAAUUACUGGGCGUAAAGGGUGCGUAGGUGGUUGCAUAAGUUAGGUGUGAAAGUCCCGGGCUUAACCUGGGGAUUGCGCCUGAUACUGUGUAGCUAGAGUACUGUAGAGGAAGGUGGAAUUUCCAGUGUAGCGGUGAAAUGCGUAGAUAUUACAUGGAAUACCAAUUGCGAAGGCAGGUUACUACUAAUGGAUUGACGCUGAUGGACGAAAGCGUGGGGAGCGAACAGG